CAUAACAAAUCCUGAAUACAGUAGUAAGGACGCAAACCCAGCAAUGACCACAGAACAUCCGGGGGGAGGGGGGUAUAUUGGGGCAGUGACGUUAGAGAGUCGGAAGCAGCUAAUAGAUGGCGACAGUAUCAGUAAAAAACCUUGUUAUCAUUUUGUGCAAAGGAGUGGGCAAUCUAUAGAUGUCUUCAUCUAUGAUUUAGAAUAGCAUUGGCUUUUAAUCUAGUGGUUUUUUCGUGUUUCCUUAGUAAAUUGGGAAUUUGCUUCUUUAUUUACACAGAGUGAAUAUUAUCUCGAACCAUUUUGUGAAUUUCUGCAGUUUAACAAGAAUGGCUACGAAUCAUGUUAUUCUUAUCUCCUCUAUUUGUGAGUUUUUGGAAAACGACAAUAGAAUAAUUAAAAGGGGUGAAAAUGCGCUGCACUCAAAUCAUAUUAAAAAAAUGCAAUAUGAUUCAACACUGGGUAUCAUUAGAGGAGAAGUCCUAGCGAGUAUGAAGGACAAAGUGUACAAUGUAGAGAUCAAUCUUGAUACUGAUAAAAUAUCAAGCGCCACUCGUACCUGCCCUAAGGGACUGCGAUGCCAUCAUAUCAGUGCACUGGCAUUAUAACAUUUCAAUCACAGAUAAGGAAUGUCUGUGGAAUAAACCAACGACCAAAGAAGAAACGGAGUUGGUUACUAAGGAAGGAUGAGCCCAUCAGUAGAGACCGUUUUGACGUGGACAUCCCAUUAAUUGAAGACAUUAUUACUUCUGAAGACUUCCUUAAAUCUUCAAAUAAAACAGAAUUUGUGAAACAGAAAUGUGUCAUUGAUACUGAUAAGAUUGAGGCUAUAGCUAAAAUUACUACAGGCCAAACUGACAACGAAAAAUGGUUCUUAAUCAGAAAAUUCAGGCUUACAGCUAGCCACUUUGCAAAAGUUUUAGGGUGCUGUAGCAGAAAUAGGUUUCCAGAGAGCUUGUUUAAAUCUCUUAUUAUGAGUGCUUAUUCAUUGGACGGGAUAAAAUCUAUCCAAUGGGGGAAGACUCAUGAAAUUAUUUGAAAAAUAAUUUAAACAAAUGCUGUGCCAACAGGAAUUUGGAUAUCUAAAUCAGGACUCCUUGGAGCUAGCCCUGACGGAUUAUUUGAAGAUGAUGGAAUUAUUGAAGUCAAAUGCCUCUGUUCCUUUAAGAAGUCCAAACUCUCGGAUUGUUUAAAGGAUAAGAAUUACAUAAUACACUAUAAUAAAAAUAAGGAAGUACUUGUGAAUACUAAUCACAAUUAUUACCAUCAAAUUCAAGAAAAUUUACAUAUAUCAAAUAGAAACGUGUUACUUAUGUAUUUAGACUCCGCUGGAAGUUGAAACUGUAUUGAUUAAUUUUGACGAGAUCUGGGCCAAAAAUUUAGACAUUUUAGAACUUUUUUAUACAAAUAUUUAUUUGCCGAGACUACUCGGUUGUAAUAUAUAAAUAACUAAAA